rnacentral:rRNA from 1 species
UACGGAGGGGGGCGAGCGUUAUUCGGAAUUAUUGGGCGUAAAGGGCGCGUAGGCGGCUUGACAAGUCAAAGGUGAAAUCCCCUCGGCUCAACUGAGGAACUGCCUUUGAAACUGUCUGGCUUGAGGCCGGGAGGGGGUAGCGGAAUUCCCAGUGUAGCGGUGAAAUGCGUAGAUAUUGGGAGGAACACCAGUGGCGAAGGCGGCUACCUGGACCGGUUCUGACGCUGAUGCGCGAAAGCGUGGGUAGCAAACAGG